UUCAAAUACUAAAUAAUUAGACGAUGCUGUAAAAUCUCAUAUUCCAUUAGAAAGUAAUGUCAAAUUAAUGUAUACUCCCCCAAAUUAAUUUCUAUAAAAAGUUAAAUCAUUUAAUUAGCAAUAACAAGCAGCACUAUUUCAAAAAUAAUUUUUAGGUUUUUCAUUUCAAUCCCAGUUAUCUAAAUUGCAAAAACAUUCAUUGAGAGGGAAGCCCUAUGAAAACCUGUGAAUGGAGAAGGGAGAAAAGUGUAGUCAAGGUUUCUCAACUAUGGUACCAUGGAUAUUUUGGGUCAGAUCAUUCUUUGUUGUAGGGAGUUCUCUUGUACACCACAGAUGUUUGGCAGCACCCCUCUGCUCUAUCCACAAGAUGCCAGUACCACAGCCUCCCACUCUGAAGUUGUGAUAACCAAAACUGUCUACAGACUUGGCCAAAUGUCUCCUAAGAGAGGAGGACUGGAGGAAUCAGCCCUGGUUGAGAGCCACUGGGUUAGGUAGAACUACUUUAUCUCAGUGGUUUGGAUCGGUGAUACUCAAGAGAUUGGGAUAGUCACCUGGAGGGCUUUCUAACCACACGUCUCCAGAGAUUGUGGUAUGCAGCUCACAGCCCCUCAAUUAUUUAUAAUCACUUAUACAUCCAUUGCCCCCUCUCCUCUCUGUCCAGUGUGGUACAGUACACUGAAAUAAUACAUAAAGCAAUUCUUCAAAGCCUAAAAUACUCUGGGUUAACUAGAUGAAAUCUGUAAGAACCUUUUCCUUAAUGCCAGCCCCUCGAGCCAAUUUCUGAACUCAUGUAAUUCCUCUCGAGUUGUGCACACACACAACCAGUUUAUUGGCAACUCUUAACUCCAGAACUUCAUUGUCUUUCUUUACCUGUUCUGGGAGCAAAGUGGCAAAAGUUGUGAUAAUCCCUGUACUUCUCACUAUUAUGAGGUAGAGGGACAAGCAAGACCAUGGCACAGAGCAAUUAAAAACACUCCCCUCUUCCAUUUCUAUAAAUGCCAUCCAAACACUGCAAACAUGCAGUCUCUCAUUCUUUUAGAAGCAACAAUCCUUCAUCUAUGAUCAUAACUGUCUCAGUCACUGGGUGGUGAAGUGGCCAUAAGUCUGAAAAAGUGAGGCUCUUUGGUGAAGACCAGAUGAAUAGAAACAUGCUUCUCCCACCUGCCACAAUAGCUCCGUGCCUCUGGCCCAAACCUUAAUCAAACCCUUGGCUUUCUAUAGCACGUUACACAUCAUAAAGUGCUUUUACACACAUUACCUUAAAUGAUCCCAAACAAUCUUGUGAGAUGGGGAGGUGUUUUUAUUCUCAUUUUACAGAUGAGGAAACUCUGGCCCAGAGAGGUUAUGAGACUAGUCUCAGCCAUUUAUUUAUUGGGGGAGCCAAGAUUUGAAUGCAGCUUGCUGACCCCAAAGCCAGUGCUUUUUCCAUAUAAUUUCAUAAAAAUAGUGCUCAGCGGAGUUACAGCCUUAAAGCCAUGAUGGUAGUCUUUAGAUUCCAUGCAUUUAGGAAUCUUUGCAAGGCCUGGAUCUUAAAAAAACAAAUUCUACUCUGCUGUAUUCAUGCAGGUCUGACAAAUAGCAGUAAGGCAGUCAUCCUUCUUAGCAAGCUACCUACGAUUGACAAAGCCAUAUAUUUUUCUAAUGGAAAAUGUCUCCACAGAUAAGGAAGUAAAGUCACUUAACUCUCCAGGAUUCAUUAACUAAAGCUGAUGUUGCUACUGAUGCUGCUGUUAAUGUCCCACAAAAUUAAUCUAACAGUACCUACCUGACUCCUUGUUCACAAAUCACACACUCUAAAUUUGGAGUGCCCUAGAAUGAUCUCUCUUUUCUUGUUAGUAAAACUGCCGAGAGCCAUUCACUAGCAAGGCUGGCAAGUACAUGUUUGCUAUUGGAAGAGACUGGAAGGAGAAGCUGCCAUUAAUAAAGCAUGAAUACUUGUCAUUCGCCAGACUGAACACUGGAAAAGUGACAUUGUAGCUUAGAAAAAAGGUCUCUGAGGCUAUAUGGGGAGGUCUGAGGGUCUUAAAGCUGGCCUCCAUUGAAGGGGCUCUCCUCCCGGCAGAUUGCUGCAAAUGAGUGGUCUUCAAAUAUGUGCUCCCAGUGGCCACCUUUCCGAAUGUCAACAUCCGGAAAUAAGUUUAACAUUUGCAUUUUGUGAAGGCAUGACCAAGAAAAGGUAAUACUAACCUCAUCUAUAGCUUUUUUAUAGCUCUGAAAUGAGAGGAACCCAAUCCAGAAGAAUCCACAGAAGGAUGAAAAGCCAGCAGAGAGGCAGCAGAUUAGACACAAAAUUGGAGUUGUUAGUACACAACUGAUAAACGCAAAAAGGCGAAGAGAAUGUCAGCCCAGAAUGAUGCAAACCCCUUCAUUACUCUCAGUAUAUGUCCUUACUUUGAGAUGUUAAAAAGAGUAAACCAAAGCGCUUCAUGUUUAUUUCACAGAGAAGAUUCUCAGUUUUAAACAUACUGAGUGGAUGGUAAUUCAUUCCAAAUUAAUUCUCAACUUUCAAAUUUCAGCCUCCACACUCUUACUUCUUUCCUUAAGGCUACUUGUGGGUCUAUCAUAUUACAGCAGUGAAGUCGGAUAUUAAGUUGUUAGGACCUCUGUCGGACCCUGCUUAACAAGUUUGGUCCCAAGAACCUAGUCUUGGAGGCAUGAAAAAUAGCAGAAAAACUGUCAUAUUAAUUCAUGUGGAAAAUCAUAGGGGGUGAGAGUAGAGCAGGUAAAAGAAAUUCAUAGAAAGUGCCCAAGUCUCUUUAACUGCUCCUUUCAACAUUUUGCCAAAGUUGCUGAGUAGAAAUUAUAGAAUGAUAUGAGUUGUUUCUCUUUCUGUUUUAUUGUUAAAGGACUGCUAAGGAUCAGCAAAUAUCCAAAGGCAGAGGAGACGAUCCAAGAUAUCUUUUGUUCUUUUUUAAUCAGUGGAACGCAGACUUGCAAAGAUGCCACAGCUGUCCUGAAGUCACACUGAAAUAGGGCAGAGCAGGAGUUCUGUCUGAUUUCCGAAAGUCCUAUUCUCAAUCACUAUGCUAAAUGAACCUAAGUUAAGGCUCUAUGCUUGUUUUCUUCUUUUACUACUUGUGCAAUCAGGAUAGGUUAUUUUGAUGAAAUUUUGUGAGAGGAAAAACAAAAAGAAACCUGUUUUAUUUGGCGGAAUAUUUUUUAAUUGGGGAUGGGAGUGGUCUAAGCCCUUUAAAAAUGAAAGAAUGAGAUGAGGGCAGGAGAAGGGCCCGAGACCAGAGGUACAAAGUGGGGUCGGAACCCUGACAGCUGCAGAGCGAGUGGCAUCUCUGCAGUCUAUGAGCCUACAGGUGGAGAAGAUACAAUUUAGUGUGGGAGAGGUUGUUUUAUUUUUUUUUCAAGUGGUCUUUCUUGGACAGGGACAUACUGGGGAUACAAGCGCCCUUUUAAUCCAGAAAAACGAGGGGCUGAAGGCAAUAAAAAGUAAGCCUGAUCAGACCAGGGAAUGAAAAUGGGAUGUAUUUAACUUUGGUUUAUUUGCUCUAAGAAUAUGAAGUUGCCUAUAAAUAGAAAAACGGUAACAGAAUGGAUGUUGUCUUUCUUUCCUACAUGUUUUUUAGAGACGGGCUUUCUCUGUCACCCAGGCUGAAGCGCAGUGGGGCCAUCAUAGCUCACUGCAGCAUAAACUCCUGAGUUUAAGCAAUUCUUCCACCUCAGCCUCCUGGGUACCUAGGACUACAGGCAUAAGCCACCACACCUCGUGGUUUUCUGAAUUAAGGAAAUUUAUAUUUGGAUCAAGGCAACAAAGGUAUAUAGUAGACAGCUCUGAGAUGUGCCGUCGAUAUCAGAAGAAUGCAUAUAGAGGCAGCUAUUGGCCAGUCCGUACCCCAAUUCAGAGACGUGAACAUCAAUCACAUGUUAGAUAUCAAGCUUUUCAAAAUGGAAAUACAGUGACUUUACUUAUUUAACACCCUGAAAGGGUUUUAGGAGAUAAAAUAAGGGUAUUAGGAGGUGGCAUGUAAUAGAGUCUAAGAAAGAAUAAAUAACUGAAGGUUUUCAUCAGACAGAGAAACUUACAAGUAUGUCAGUAUUUCUCCAAUUGCAAUCAAAGUACUGGUCUUUAUCACUUGGAAGCAAAAUUAUCUUCUGAAGAAGUUAAUUCUGGAAGAGUGAAUUUUAACUGGCUAGAAACAUGUACUAUUAUAUAUCAUCUCCUGCACAAUAAUAAUAUUUUUCAUAGGCUUUCCCAUUAAUGGAAACUAAGCAAUGAUAAAUAAUUUGAGGCCAGGCACAGUGACUCACGCCUGUAAUUCCAGCACUCUGGGAGGCUGAGGUGGGUGGAUCACAAAGUCAGGAGGUCAGGAUCAUCCUGGCCAACACGGUGAAACCCUGUCUCUACUAAAAUACAAAAAAAUUAGCUGGGCAUGGUCAUGUGCACCUAUAGUCCCAGCUACUUGGGAGGCUGAGGCAGGAGAACUGCUUGAACCCAGGAGGUGGAGGUUGCAGUGAGCCGAGAUUGUGCCACUGCACUCCAGCCUGGCAACAGAACAAAACUCUGUCUCAAAUAAUAAUAAUUUGAAUUAUGUAUUUAGAGAGUCUAAUUUUUACCUAAUAGGAAUAGCCAGAGGAAUCAAAUGUUUUUUAAGUCAAAGAUUUUAUUCCCUCCAAGAGUAUUCUACGUUAGUCUUGACUGAAUUUCAUUUUGAGAAAUACAUGUUAUUCUGAACUAUGUAUGCGAACUAUGUUCAGAAUACUAAACAGGACAGUUGGUGCAAUGGAUACAGAACAUUUGCAGGCAAAUGAAACUCUGAAAACUGGCAAUCAAAUGGAAACAGAAAUUCAGGUGACUGGUAAGUGACUGUAUUUUCAAAUAAGACUGACAUUUGGUGAUCUCCCUGGAAAACUCUGGUGUCUGAGAUUAGAAAGGAUUUUGUCCAUACUGAUGGCACACACAUAAUUAGGGACAGUGGCUCAGUCCCCAGAGGAGACGAGUUGAGAGCAGUUGAGGGGCUCUUCAGGAUCACACAGUGGUGGGCAUGCCUGGACCAGAGUCAGGAAGUAACUAACCUUGUUCCCUGUCUACAGCUUUCCUCCCAGGCAGCAUUGCCAGGUAAAGGUAAGAGAAAGUUUUACCUCGAACUCUGGUGCGUUCACUGGAUCCUGCUUGUGAUCCAGGCUGGGAGCCUCCUUGGGAGCUGGGCUGGGAGCUGGGGGUGCUGGAGCUGGAGGAACUGCCACUGCUGGUCCUCUGCAAGGGGCUCUCCAAGAUGGGCUCAGUUCUCCGGAGAUCAGGGUUGCUGUGUAAGUGGCAGAGCACAUUGGUUACACUCUCCAGACCUUGCCAGUUUUGCAGAUCACAUAUUGAAAAAGGUUAAUACCUAAAAUAUAUGAGGAACUCAAACAGCUCAAUAGCAAGAAAAAAACCAAUUAAAAUGGGGAAAGGAACUGAAUAGACUUUUUUUUUUUUGAGCCGGAGUUUCGCUCCUGUUACCCAGGCUGGAGUGCAAUGGUGCGACCCCGGCUCACCACAACCUCCACCUCCUGGGCUCAAGCAAUUCCCCUACUUCAACCUCCUGAGCAGCCGGGACUACAGGCACGCACCACCAUGCCCAACUAAUUUCUGUAUUUUUAGUAGAGACGGGGUUUCACCAUGUUGACCAGGAUGGUCUUGAUCUCCUGACCUUGUGAUCCACCCGCCUCAGCCUCCCAAAGUGCUGGGAUAACAGGCGUGAGCCACCACGCCCGGCCCGAGUAGACAUUUUUUAGAAGGAGACAUGCAAAUAGCCAAUAGGAAUAUGAAAAAAAAAUGCUCAAUAUCACUAAUUAUCAGGGAAAUGCAAAUUAAACCACAAUGAACCAGGCACAGUGGCUCUCACCUAUAACUCCAGCACGUUGGAAGGCUGAGGUGGGAGGAUCACUUGAGGCCAGGAGUUACAGACCAGCCUGGGCAACAUAGUGAGAUCCCAUCUCGACAAAAAAUUAGCUGGGCAUACUGGCAUGUGCCUGUCAUCCCACUUACAUGAGAGGCAGAGGUAGGAGGGUCACUUGAGCCCAGGAGGUCAAGGCUGCAGUGAGGCAUGAUCUCAUUACUACACUCCAGCCUGAGCAACAGAGCGAGACCGUGUCUCAAAAAAUAAAAACAUAAAAAAAUUAAAAAUCCCACCAAACCACAAUGAGACAUCACCUCACACCUAUCAGAAUGGCUCUUCUCAAAAGACAAAGAUAAUGAGUGUUGGUGAGGAUGCAGAGAAAAGGGAACCCUGUACCCUGUUGGUGAGAAUGUAAAAUAGUACAGUCAGUAUGGAAAAACAGUAUGAAAAUUCCUCAAAAAACUAAAAAUAAAAUUAUCAUAGGAUCCAGAGAUUCCACCUCUGGGUAUAUAUCCAAAGGAAAUGAAGUCAAUAUAAAAAAAAUCACUGUAUUGAAGAUGUAGCUGUACUCCCAUGCUCAGUGCAGCACUACUCACAGCAGUUAAGAUACGGAAUCAACCUGAGUGUCCACUGAUGAAUGGAUCAAGAAAAUAUGAUUUCUCUCUCUGUCUCUCAAAAAGACAAAAAUACUACAUGAUCUCACUUAUAUGUGGAAUCUACAAACAUGGAAUUCAUAGAAACAGAGAAUAGAAUGAUAGUUGCCAGGGGCUCUAGGAAGGAAAGAGCAUGGGAACAUGUUGGUCAAAUACUACAGUUUCAGUUGGACAGCAUGAAUAACUUUUGGAAAUCUGCACACCAUGGUGGCUACAGAUAAUAAGGUAUACUUGAAAAUUGCUAAGAGAGAUCUUAAAUGUUCUCAUCACAGAAAAUGCUAACUAUGUGAGGUGAUGGAUAUACUGAUUAACGUGAUUUUAGUAAUCAUUUCGCACUGUAUACAUAUGUCGAAACAUCAUGUACACUGUAAAUAUAUAUACCUUUCAUUUGUCAAUUAUACCUCAGUAAAGCUAGGGGGAAAAAGAUCAUGCCAUUAAUAGACACAAGCAUAGUCCAGUCCCCAGUACAAAAAAGUAAAGAGAGCGCUUAUAAGAUCUUGAGAGGAAGGGGUCAACGGAAGAUGACAGUCAUACCUUCCUUUGUAGAGUUUCUGACCAGAUACUGGAUGUGGACAGGAUGAACUCUUGUUCAUCACAUUAAAAGUACUAGCUCUGUGCCACAUAUACACCAUGGAAUACUAUGCAGCCAUAAAAAAAGGAUGAGUUCAUGUCUUUUGCAGGGACAUGGAUGAAACUGGAAACCAUCAUUCUCAGCAAACUGACAUAAGGACAGAAAACGAAACACUGCAUGUUCUCUCUCACAAAUUUACAUAGUGCUGGGCACGGAUAAUUUAGGGAGACCUGAAACUCAGAGCUCAAAUCUAUUGCCACUCAGAUGCUGAGAAGAGAAACAUCUAAUGUCAGCUUCCUCCCUGGUUCUAACAUCUUCAGUUCCCCAAACAGACUUUGUUAACAGCCACCAUACAGCUAUGAUUUUAAUGCCAUGAGAUAUUUUACUAAAACAUAAUUUUAUGUUUUAACUUUGCUCUGCCCAGUUUAAGAGUACCAAGUAUGUAUCAGGUAUUCUGUACUGUUUUGGAUGUCAGAUGUUUCUCAAAUAAAUUUGAAAAUGAUACGA